rnacentral:rRNA from 1 species
UACGUAGGUGGCGAGCGUUGUCCGGAUUUACUGGGCGUAAAGAGCGCGCAGGCGGUCGUUCAAGUCGCGUGUGAAAGCCCCCGGCUCAACUGGGGAGGGUCACGCGAUACUGAUCGACUCGAAGGCAGGAGAGGGUAGUGGAAUUCCCGGUGUAGCAGUGAAAUGCGUAGAUAUCAUGAGGAAUACCAGAGGCGAAGGCGGCUACCUGGACAAUUGCUGACGCUCAGGCACGAAAGCGUGGGGAGCAAAAGGG